UCCCUGUGACGAUGAAUGUUGAAAAGAAUGGGGUUGCUUCUCAGAGUGAAGAUAAGGAGGAAAAUGCCAUUACUGAAGUACCAAAUGAAGAAAAUGCAAUAGUAGUUAUGACCAAUGGAAAAAUUGCAACAGAAGAAGAAGAGAAUGAAGACACUGCAAUGGUAGGAGUGGAAGAGUAUGAAGAAACGAGUACGGAAAAAGAUGAAGAGGAUGAACCAUAUGUAUUAGGAGAUGAUGACGAGGACGACGACAAUGAUGAGGAAGAAAAAGAAGAAGAAGAAGA
rnacentral:lncRNA from 1 species